CUUAAAAAAUAAUCCAUGUGAUAAGUGUUCAGAUAUACAUGUAAAAUUUACCAUCAAGUAUAGGUAAUCUUUUACAGUUAACCAAUGUUUAAAAUAUUGGUAUAUUUUCAGUUAACCAAUGUUUAAAAUAUUGGUAUCGCUAGAAAUAUCGAUGUGCAAAUUUAUGAAAAUAUCAAUAUUGAUAUUGAUUACCUUCGAUAGACAUAAUGAAAAUUUGCUCAAUGUCAAAAACACCCUGUAUAAACGAAAUAUAAAGUUUAUCUGUUAUUUAACCGAUGUGUCGGAAAUAUCAACGAAAUCUUUCGUUUUUAGCUGAAAUUUAAGAGUAAUUGUAAUUUUUCGAUAUUUCAACGAAAAUAUGGAUCGUAUUGAAUAAAUUUCAAACAUUACAGUUAACACAUUAACUAUAGUUAAAAUAAUGUACGCAUGCAUUAGGAAUAAUGGUUCCCAGCUGGGGAAAGAUUGAGAGAUACAUAUGAUAUAUAUACGCCAUUAAAAAGGUAGUUUCUUGCACAGUUGUAGUCCAUAAUCCUGUAUUUCUAUUAGUUUAGAAAUUAAUUAGUGUCCACCAACUUUGUUUAGUAAAUUUAUUUAGCAGAAAACAUAAAAAUAAUUAAUCACGAUCAAGGAAGAAAAUAUCGGUGAUAUCGGAAAUAUCGA
rnacentral:lncRNA from 1 species